rnacentral:rRNA from 1 species
AUACGGAGGGUGCAAGCGUUACUCGGAAUCACUGGGCGUAAAGCGCGCGCAGGCGGCUAUUUAUGUUGGAUGUGAAAGCCUACGGCUCAACCGUAGAACUGCAUCCAAAACUAUUUAGCUAGAGUGUGGGAGAGGAAGAUGGAAUUAGUUGUGUAGGGGUAAAAUCCGUAGAGAUAACUAGGAAUACCAAAAGCGAAGGCAAUCUUCUGGAACACUACUGACGCUGAGGCGCGAAAGCGUGGGGAGCAAACAGGAUUAGAAACCCCAGUAGUCC